UGUCAGCAGCCGCGGUAAUACAUAGGGUGCAAGCGUUGUCCGGAAUUAUUGGGCGUAAAGAGCUCGUAGGUCGUUUGUUACGUCGGAUGUGAAAACCUGAGGCUCAACCUCAGGCCUGCAUUCGAUACGGGCAAACUAGAGUUUGGUAGGGGAGACUGGAAUUCCUGGUGUAGCGGUGGAAUGCGCAGAUAUCAGGAGGAACACCAAUGGCGAAGGCAGGUCUCUGGGCCAAUACUGACACUGAGGAGCGAAAGUCUGGGGAGCGAACAGGAUUAGAUACCCUGGUAGUCCAGACCGUAAACGGUGGGCACUAGUUGUGGGAACCUUCCACGGUUUCUGCGACGCAGCUAACGCAUUAAGUGCCCCGCCUGGGGAGUACGAUCGCAAGAUUAAAACUCAAAGGAAUUGACGG
rnacentral:rRNA from 1 species